CCAUAAAUGCAUGGUAACGUGCACAGAAAUUGAUUUGGGUCUUUAGGCCUGCCCUCUCUAAUGCCUUUCGGCUUUGAUUUGGGGGCAUGGUGUGAAUAUAUAUUU